rnacentral:misc_RNA from 1 species
UUUCCGUAGGUGAACCUGCGGAAGGAUCAUUCAUAAUAAGUGUUUUAUGGCACUUUUUUAAAUCCAUAUCCACCCUGUGUGCAAUGUCAGGGUUGAUUUCUCUCUCGAGAGGAUCAACCCCAAACAUCAACUAUAUCUCAACUCUUUGUCUGAAAAAUAUUAUGAAUAAAACAAUUCAAAAUACAACUUUCAACAACGGAUCUCUUGGCUCUC